UACGAAGGGGGCGAGCGUUGUUCGGAUUUACUGGGCGUAAAGGGCGCGCAGGCGGUUCUGUUUGUCGAGUGUGAAAGCCCCGGGCUCAACCUGGGAACUGCGCUCGAAACGGCGGAACUAGAGUUCGGGAGAGGAGAGUGGAAUUCCCAGUGUAGAGGUGAAAUGCGUAGAUAUUGGGAGGAACACCAGUGGCGAAGGCGGCUCGCUGGGACGUUACUGACGCUGAGACGCGAAAGCGUGGGGAGCAAACAGG
rnacentral:rRNA from 1 species